rnacentral:rRNA from 1 species
CUUAAAUGAAUUGACGGGGCCGCACAAGCGGUGGAGCAUGUGGUUAAUUCGACGCAACGCGAAGAACCUUACCAGGGCUUGACAUCCCCUGACCGCGUAUGAAAGUACGUUUUCACCCUCGGGUGACAGGGAGACAGGUGGUGCAUGGUUGUCGUCAGCUCGUGUCGUGAGAUGUUGGGUUAAGUCCCGCAACGAGCGCAACCCCUACGUUUAGUUGCUAACGCGUGAAGGCGAGCACUCUAGACGAACUGCCGUUGACAAAACGGAGGAAGGUGGGGAUGACGUCAAAUCAUCAUGCCCCUUAUGUUCUGGGCUACACACGUGCUACAAUGGCCGGUACAGACGGACGCAAAGCCGCGAGGUGGAGCAAAUCCUAAAAAGCCGGUCUCAGUUCGGAUUGCAGGCUGCAAUUCGCCUGCAUGAAGUCGGAAUCGCUAGUAAUCGCAGGUCAGCAUACUGCGGUGAAUACGUUCCCGGGCCUU